rnacentral:rRNA from 1 species
CCUGGCUCAGGAUGAACGCUAGCUACAGGCUUAACACAUGCAAGUCGAGGGGCAGCAUGGUCUUAGCUUGCURAGGCCGAUKGCKACCGGCGCACGGGUGAGUAACGCGUAUCCAACCUGCCUUACACUCUUGGACAGCCUUYUGAAAGGGAGAUUAAUACAAGAKGUUAUCAUGAGUAAGCAUUUUCGCAUGAUUAAAGGUUUACCGGUGUAAGAUGGGGAUGCGUUCCAUUAGAUAGUAGGCGGGGUAACGGCCCACCUAGUCUUCGAUGGAUAGGGGUUCUGAGAGGAAGGUCCCCCACAUUGGAACUGAGACACGGUCCAAACUCCUACGGGAGGCAGCAGUGAGGAAUAUUGGUCAAUGGACGAGAGUCUGAACCAGCCAAGUAGCGUGAAGGAUGAAGGUUCUAUGGAUUGUAAACUUCUUUUAUACGGGAAUAAACGGAUCCACGUGUGGAUUUUUGCAUGUACCGUAUGAAUAAGGAUCGGCUAACUCCGUGCCAGCAGCCGCGGUAAUACGGAGGAUCCGAGCGUUAUCCGGAUUUAUUGGGUUUAAAGGGAGCGUAGAUGGGUUGUUAAGUCAGUUGUGAAAGUUUGCGGCUCAACCGUAAAAUUGCAAUUGAUACUGGCAGUCUUGAGUACAGUUGAGGUAGGCGGAAUUCGUGGUGUAGCGGUGAAAUGCUUAGAUAUCACGAAGAACUCCGAUUGCGAAGGCAGCUUACUAACCUGUAACUGACAUUGAUGCUCGAAAGUGUGGGUAUCAAACAGGAUUAGAUACCCUGGUAGUCCACACGGUAAACGAUGAAUACUCGCUGUAGGCGAUAUACGGUCUGCGGCCMAGCGAAAGCAUUAAGUAUYCCACCUGGGGAGUACGCCGGCAACGGUGAAACUCAAAGAAAUUGACGG